GCUGGGCAUGGUGGUGCGUGCCUGUAAUCCCAGCUACUCAGGAGGCUGAGGCGGGAGAAUUGCUUGAACCCAGGAGGCGGAGGCUGCAGUGAGCUGAGAUCGCGUCAUUGCACUCCAGCCUGGGUAACAAAAGCGAAACUCCGUCUCAA
ensembl:misc_RNA Metazoa_SRP Metazoan signal recognition particle RNA